AGAAGAGUAAAGUUAGCAAGUGGAUGGAUAGAGAUGAAGGUGUGCGUGGAGGAACUGAAACGCGUUGGGCAUGCGUUCCACUCGAAUCCCUAUAAACUCUCUUUACCAUACACGAUUCAAUGGGAUAGAAUAGUACUAAUUCAAUUUUCCACCCAAAUAAGUACAAAAACAUUCCAAAUUUCAAAUCAAUCUUUCACUCUCCUUUUUAUUUUUGGUCCCUCUUCGCCCCCGCCAUUGAAAUGUAUCAUCACGAAUAUUUUUGCAAGUGACAAACAAAAGAAGCAGAUCAAAUAUGCUAACAUUAUUGGUCCACCAUACACCUCUUUCCAGAUUCACUCAUUUUUAUUAUCAGGAUCGACUUGAUUGUGGACCAUGAUGAUCGAGUGAAAACUGAAUCACUACUCUCAACAGCAACAAACUAUUGCAAUGACAACAUAAAUGGAAGAUUCUUCUUGAUAAUAUGAGAAGAAAAAAUGAAGCUAAGUACUUAUAAUUAGUCCAAUCAUUCUUGGAUGUUGAUUCCUCCAGUUUCUACAGAAUACACAAGGUACCAUCUUAUCUCUUAGUCUUGUUAAAGCCUAAUAAUCUAAGAUGGUUGCUUUUGGUUCUUCCAUAUAUUCUUGGUAGGAGUCAAGUUUUCAUGAAGCCAACUUUUUGAUUUGCUUGUUGGUUGAAGUCUAAAUAUCCCUAAAAAAUUCAACCGGAAUCAAUUCAGUUAUAGAUAAGAUGAAGCAGAUAGAAUCAGUUAGCAAUAGAGAAUAUCCUACAAGAUAACAUAUCUUUAAACUUGCACUUUACUGAAUAAUUGCCCUAUAUGGUUAGUAGUUCCAAAAAAAUAUGAGAUCUACUUUAGUGUUUUAAAAAAUAAUUGGAGAGUUUUUUUAUUUUGUGGUCUUAAAUAAAAGAUGUGUGUAGUCUUUUAAUCCUCCUAAUCUUAAACUUGUGAGGUAAAAUGUUGGAUGGAGAGACUCUUUGGGGACAAGUAUAAGACACUGAAAAUGAAUCAAGAGACGAAGCCAUAGAUCCAACUAAUUCAUUAGGAAAAAGGCAAUUUUCAUGCUUAAUUAAUCCUCUUUAUGUACAUACUAGUUGUUAACAACUAAGCCUAAAACCAUACACUUUCUAUGUAUGAUCAGAUAAUAUGCAUCCGGUGAUUGUUAAUUAUACUUCAAUUACUGAGUUAAUAUAACUAGGCAGAUCUCGAAUUUAAAUUC